rnacentral:misc_RNA from 1 species
GAUGAAGAACGUAGCGAAAUGCGAUACUUGGUGUGAAUUGCAGAAUCCCGUGAACCAUCGAGUCUUUGAACGCAAGUUGCGCCCCUUGGUAUCCCGAGGGGCAUGCCUGUUCGAGCGUCAUUUCACCACUCAAGCCUGGCUUGGUGUUGGGCGACGUCCCCUUUGGGGACGCGCCUCGAAACGCUCGGCGGCGUGGCACCGGCUUUAAGCGUAGCAGAAUCUUUCGCUUUGGAAGUCGGGGCCCCGUCUGCCGGAAGACCUACUCGCAAGGUUGACCUCGGAUCAGGCAGGGAUACCCGCUGAACUUAAGCAUAUCAAUAAGCGGAGGA